CUCACAAUGGGGCCAUAGGCCUCAGUUCAUCAAGAGAAUGAGCCUUUGAGGAUUUGCUAGGAAACUCUUGACUGAAGGGAGGCCGGUGGAUGAAUCACUUUGUUUCUUAUGGAAAAGAUGAAAACUUUCUUUGUGGUUAUCUUGGCUACUGACUAUUUCUUACAUAUUUCUGGUAACAAUCCAUAUGCGGACAUUACAUGCGGUUAUUAUCGAAGGAAGUCUGCACAGGAGAACCGAAUAUGCUCCCUAACAGUCUACCCAUUAUGUGCCUCUAAUAAUGUUACAUACUCUAAUGCCUGCAUGUUCUGCUUCGCUAACAUAACCCAAGCACUUUCCUGUGAGAAACCUAAACCAGAGGGAGAGGCCGCGUGCGGGCAAUCUUGAUGGAGCUAGAGGACUUCCAGCCUAAACUGCCAGUAACCUAACAUCCAUUUGAGCCUGAAGUUAACUGCAGUCUCAGCUGACAUCUGACUGAAAAUACCCAAGACACCUCAAGCUAGAACUGCCCAGCUGAGUCCAAUCAACCCAUAGAAUGAUGACAGAUCACAACAGAUUGUUAUAUUAAGCCAAUAAAUUCUUCAGUAGUUUGUUAUGUAGGUACCAUAAUAAUGCCCAUUUUUCCUUGACAAACCUGAAGCUUAGUUGAAGUGCUUGCCCAUAGUCUUUCUGCCAGUGCAUGGAGGAACUCACACUUGAACCAGAUCUUUCUGGUUCUAAAGCCUACAUUGCUGACCACUAAAUACACAGUU
ensembl:lncRNA